GCCGCGGUAAUACGAAGGGACCUAGCGUAGUUCGGAAUUACUGGGCUUAAAGAGUUCGUAGGUGGUUGAAAAAGUUAGUGGUGAAAUCCCAGAGCUUAACUCUGGAACUGCCAUUAAAACUUUUCAGCUAGAGUAUGAUAGAGGAAAGCAGAAUUUCUAGUGUAGAGGUGAAAUUCGUAGAUAUUAGAAAGAAUACCAAUUGCGAAGGCAGCUUUCUGGAUCAUUACUGACACUGAGGAACGAAAGCAUGGGUAGCGAAGAGGAUUAGAUACCCUCGUAGUCCAUGCCGUAAACGAUGUGUGUUAGACGUUGGAAAUUUAUUUUCAGUGUCGCAGGGAAACCGAUAAACACACCGCCUGGGGAGUACGACCGCAAGGUUAAAACUCAAAUGAAUUGACGGGGACCCGCACAAGUAGUGGAGCAUGUGGUUUAAUUCGAAGAUACGCGCAGAACCUUACCAACACUUGACAUGUUCGUCGCGACUCUAAGAGAUUAGAGUUUUCGGUUCGGCCGGACGAAACACAGGUGCUGCAUGGCUGUCGUCAGCUCGUGUCGUGAGAUGUUGGGUUAAGUCCCGCAACGAGCGCAACCCUCACUUUUAGUUGCCAUCAUUAAGUUGGGCACUCUGAAAGAACUGCCAGUGAUAAGCUGGAGGAAGGUGGGGAUGACGUCAAGUCCUCAUGGCCCUUACGUGUUGGGCUACACACGUGCUACAAUGGUAUCUACAACAGGAAGCAAGACUGCGAAGUUAAGCAAAUCCCUAAAAGAUACCUCAGUUCGGAUUGCACUCUGCAACUCGAGUGCAUGAAGCUGGAAUUACUAGUAAUCGUGGAUCAGC
rnacentral:rRNA from 1 species